GCUAUAAGGAAAACCAGAACAUUGAAUCUGGAGUUUCUGAUCCUGAGCAAGCAUCAAGUGACAGUGGGGACGACUAUCUCAAUUUAACAGAAGAAAACCUCCAGCAGUUUGAGUCUGACAGGACAGAAACAAGACAUUAUAAAACACUGGGCCACAUGUCUCUGUAUGGAAACUGACCAACCACAUCUGAUAAUGCUAGAGAGUAUGACCUGAAGACAAUAUUCAAAUAUUUUCAGGUGACUUGCAAGAAACUUGUUUGAAUAAUGGCCGUAGGGAGAAAGUUAUUUUUGUCCAAGUUACAUAGCGGGGUAUUAUAUUGGUGCAACUGAGAGUCUGUCCAAUGUUUCACUGGAUAGAGAAGAAUAUGAGCAAGGAAGCCAAGUGUCUAUUGAUUAAGUAAUUAUUUCAGAAUAUUUGUUCAUCAAUGAGGUAUAGAUAAUGGAAAUACUAGUAUAAAGACAUUAGCAUAUGUCCAAACCAUUUCAGCUUUCAUUUUGGACUCCUGUACUGUCACAAUGGAGUUUAGAUGGAUCACAUUAAUUCUUGUCACUCUAGCAGGUCCAGCAAGUACAAACACAACAGCUCCAACCACAACAGCUCCA